CAACAGCGUUCGAGUGAGGAGACCGUCUGCAAGAACGCUUUCCGGAUUAAUAGGAAAAAGCAUGAAAAUGUUAACCACGGGAUUCGGACGCCUUCUUAGACCGUGCAGACUUGUGAUCUGUUCGGCCAACAAAGUCAAGCUCUCGUCAUAUCCAGUCUCCCAAAGUUGUGAG